rnacentral:piRNA from 1 species
UAGCAGGAUGUUUUUGUAUUCAGGUCUCUGU